AUUGUCGAAAAGGAAUGAACAAUUAUCUUAGUUGAUUCAUUGUAUACCUACAUUUAUUGUAUUAUAAUUAUUUCAAAAAUAAGUAAAAUAGAUUUAAAGGUUCCAUUGAAUGAGUCUCCGAGCUAAAUGACUUUGGUCAUGAUACUUUUACACCCCUCUAUAAACAUUAGAGGUAAUUUUAUAUGAGUAAUAAUUACAGUGAAAACUUUGUUGACAAAUAAUCAACCAUAGGGUAUUGACUUACUAAAUGAUGGUACUAUUGAACACCAGGACCAGAGCAAUAACCUCAUAAUAGCUGCAAUUGAAGCUAGGCUAAUCCGUGACCCAGUCCCGGUAUCCAAGGACAUAUAGAUGGUUGAAGGAAUACAGGAGUGAAGAUGGUGGUUAAUGAUAAAAGGGAAUACCAAUGAAGAAGAACAGAAGACUGAGUGAGGGGUGAAAGCUUCGACUUUCCAAUUUAUUGUCACUGGUCGUAUUUCUUCUGGUGCUCCAUUGCUGCUCCUACAAGUCGUGACCAUUAGAGAUCCCUCACAAUGGUCAGUGGGUCAGAAAUACUUGGAGGCAGGAUUUGUGGUUUCGCGAAAGCUAUGGAGAGAAAAAAUUUAUACUUAGAUCUCCAAUGGUGAACGCAGUGCUCUAGAUGAAUGGGGAUUCUCAUCUGGAUUUAGAUUUUAAACAUCUUGGACUACUGAGAUAGUUUUAACUUGAACUACAAAUCCUUUUUCAUGGAAAACAUCAUCACCAGCAACACUUCUCGCUGCUCAAGUUGUCAACGAAACAUGAGAUAUUGAUUUAAAUAAAUUACGAAUAUUUUUCAAGUUAUUUUUAGAGUUGAUAUUAU